UUUUAACUUAGGUCAGCUUCGCCUUAGAAUUAUUUUUCUUUCUUUCUUUGAAGAAGGCAGAUUCCUGGUCCUGCCACUCAAAUCUUCAAAGUGAAAAUAUUUGGUCUGAUUUUCCAAUGUGUUUCCUUGAUGUCGAUCAAGUGUCUGAAACAUUAGUGAUUGUUUUUACCUUGUACAGUGAAGUGAGGUAGCAUUUUAAUUAGGGAAGAAAAAGACCAACUUGUGCUCAAAAGCUCAAAGCUUUUGUGACGGAGCUCAGAGAGAUUGAGGCCAGGAAGUCACGAUUUGUGCAUCAAUGAUCAGAUCAUCUGAGCCCUUUGUAGAGAAGUAAAAUCUAGCUUCCACCUACCCUUCUAGGUUCUUUGGUUGGGCUACAAAUUAAAUUGACAUAAGGCAGAUUCACAGGAGAAAUAUAAACAAUUACAUAUAUAGGCACUGGAGUCCCCAAAAAUAUGAGACUCAAAGAUUGGUCAGAUGAUUGAAGCUUAUAUAGUUUCCUGAGCUAUAGAAAAAAAUUACGGCUUAGGGCUUCUUGGGGGUGAUGCCCACACAAGUUAAGAGUGGAUGACAAGAAAAAAUGUAUGAUGAGUAGAGGUGGUCUUGUUAUGCAGAUAAAAUUUCUUGGGUAAUAGAAGUUGUCUGGGAGACGAGGCGGCUCAGGGGAAAUGAGACUGCAGUGGUGGUAGUAGGAAGAUGUCAGGCAGGGAUGAGCAUCAGGAGCAAACUAUUGCCAAGGACCUGGUGGUGACCAAGUAUAAGAUGGGGGGCGAGCAGGUGGCACAGUGCGACAAGGCCAACUGGGUACUUCGGACCUUGGUGGAAGCAUCUAGCUCAGGUGUGUCAGUACUGAGCCUGUGUGAGAAAGGCCAUGCCAUGAUCAUGGAAGAAACAGGGAAAAUCUUCAAGAAAGAAAAGGAAAUGAAGAAAGGUAUUGCUUUUCUCACCAGCAUUUCAGUAAAUAACUUUGUAUGUCACUUCUUCCCUUUGAAGAGCAGCCAGGAUUAUAUUCUCAAGGAAGGUGACUUGGUAAAAAUUGAUCUUGGGUUCCAUGUGGACAGCUUAAUCGCUAAUGUAGCUCAUACCUUUGUGGUUGAUGUAGCUCAGGGGACCCAAGUACCAGGGAGGAAAGCAGAUGUUAUUAAGACAACUCACCUUUGUGCUGAAGCUGCCCUAUGCUUGGCCAAACCUAGAAAUCAGAACACACAAGUGACAGAAGCGUGGAACAAAGUUGCCCACUCAUUUAACUGGAUGCCGAUAGAAGGUAUGCUGUCACACCAGUUGAAGCAGCAUUUCAUCAAUGGUGAAAAAAACAUUAUCCAGAAUCCCACAGACCAGCGGAAGAAGGACCAAGAAAAAGCUGAAUUUGAGGCACGUGAAGUAUAUGCUGUGGAUGUUCUCGUCAGCUCAGGAGAGGGCAAGGUCAACGAUGCAGGACAGAGAACCACUAUUUACAAAUGAGAUCCCUCCAAACAGUACGGACUGAAAAGGAAAACUUCACGUGCCUUCUUCAGUGAGGUGGAAAGGCGUUUUGAUGCCAUGCCGUUUACUUUAAGAGCAUUUGAAGAUGAGAAGAAGGCUUGGAUGGGUGUGGUGGAGUGCACCAAGCAUGGACUGCUACAACCAUUUAAUGUUCUUUAUGAGAAGGAGGGGGAAUUUGUUGCCCAGUUUAAAUUUGCAAUUCUGCUCAUGCCCAAUGGCCCCAUGCAGAUAACCAGUGGUCCCUUUGAGCCUGACCUCUACAAGUCUGAGAUGGAGGUCCAGGAUGCAGAGCUAAAGGCCCUCCUUCAGAGUUCUGCAAGUCAAGAAACAGAAAAAGGAAAAAAAAAAAAAAAAAGGCUUCCAAGACUGCAGAGAAUGCCACCAGUGGGGAAACAUUAGAAGAAAAUGAAGCUGGGGACUGAGGUGGGUCCCAUUUCCCCAGCUUGCUACUUCUGCCUCAUCCCCUUCCCACCACACCCCAGACUUUGUGAAGUACAGUUCUUCUUCUCCACCUAGGACCCCCAGCAGAGCAGGGGGUCGCCCUUUCUCCCCAACCCCAGUUCCCUAACCCACUCCUUUCCAACAACAACCAGCUCCAACUGACUCUGGUCUUGGGAGCCAACCACGGAAGACUACCUUAAAUGAAAAAAAGAAAUUAAAUAAUAAAAUCAGAGUUAAAAAAAAAAUUGUCUGGGAGUAGCCCUCAGAUAAUUGUUAAUAGUCUGUCUGGGCAUGAGUCAACCUCCAGUCUUCUCUCUUGUAAUUUGAGUUCAUCUUCUCUGGUUGAUAAGAUUACAGGGGAAGGGAUUCAUGACAACUGAGUCUCUUUUGAAGAAUCUCUUCCUUAGGCAGAUACAGAAGGUCAGAAAAGCCCUUCUUUUGCAUUUACCAUUCCCCAGAUGAACUCGAUGUGUUGCUGUUCCUCAAAUGCCCAUUGAUAUAUUGAAAUAAUCAGCAUACCAAAGCCAUAGAUUUUGGGGUG